rnacentral:rRNA from 1 species
GUCCACGCCAUAAACGAUGAGUGCUAGGCGCCGGAGGAUUGACCCCGUCGGUGCCGAAGCUAACGCGUUAAGCACUCCGCCUGGGGAGUACGGUCGCAAGACUAAAACUCAAAGGAAUUGACGGGGGCCCGCACAAGCGGUGGAGCAUGUGGUUUAAUUCGACGCUACGCGCAGAACCUUACCUGGGUUAAAUCCACCAGAACCUGGCCCAAAAGCCGGGGUGCCCUUCGGGGAAUUGGUGCGAAGGUGCUGCAUGGCUGUCGU